GAUGAACGCUAGCGGCAGGCCUAACACAUGCAAGUCGAGGGGCAGCACGGUGUAGCAAUACACUGGUGGCGACCGGCGCACGGGUGCGUAACGCGUAUGCAACCUACCCAUAACAGGGGGAUAACACUGAGAAAUUGGUACUAAUACCCCAUAACAUCAGGACCGGCAUCGGUUUUGGUUGAAAACUCCGGUGGUUAUGGAUGGGCAUGCGUUGUAUUAGCUGGUUGGUGAGGUAACGGCUCACCAAGGCAACGAUACAUAGGGGGACUGAGAGGUUAACCCCCCACAUUGGUACUGAGACACGGACCAAACUCCUACGGGAGGCAGCAGUGAGGAAUAUUGGUCAAUGGACGCAAGUCUGAACCAGCCAUGCCGCGUGCAGGAAGACGGCUCUAUGAGUUGUAAACUGCUUUUGUACGAGGGUAAACGCUCUUACGUGUAAGAGCCUGAAAGUAUCGUACGAAUAAGGAUCGGCUAACUCCGUGCCAGCAGCCGCGGUAAUACGGAGGAUCCAAGCGUUAUCCGGAUUUAUUGGGUUUAAAGGGUGCGUAGGCGGUUUGAUAAGUUAGAGGUGAAAUACCGGUGCUUAACACCGGAACUGCCUCUAAUACUGUUGGACUAGAGAGUAGUUGCGGUAGGCGGAAUGUAUGGUGUAGCGGUGAAAUGCUUAGAGAUCAUACAGAACACCGAUUGCGAAGGCAGCUUACCAAACUAUAUCUGACGUUGAGGCACGAAAGCGUGGGGAGCAAACAGGAUUAGAUACCCUGGUAGUCCACGCAGUAAAUCGAUGAUAACUCGCUGUCGGCGAUACACUGUCGGCGGCUAAGCGAAAGCGAUAAGUUAUCCACCUGGGGAGUACGUUCGCAAGAAUGAAACUCAAAGGAAUUGACG
rnacentral:rRNA from 1 species